CCCUUAGAUGUCCUGGGCUGCACGCGCGCUACACUGAUGUGUCCAGUAAGCACCUAACCUCUUCCGAAAGGAACGGGUAACCUUUGCAAAGCACAUCGUGAUGGGGAUAGAUUAUUGCAAUUAUUAGUCUUGAACGAGGAAUUCCUAGUAAGCACAAGUCAUCAGCUUGUGUUGAUUACGUCCCUGCCCUUUGUACACACCGCCCGUCGCUCCUACCGAUUGAUUGAUCCGGUGAAUUACAUAGAAUUUUGCGUUUUACAUGACGGAAGACGAAGUGUUUUAAACCUUAUCAUUUAGAGGAAGGAGAAGUCGUAACA
rnacentral:rRNA from 1 species